rnacentral:rRNA from 1 species
UACGUAGGGUGCGAGCGUUGUCCGGAAUUAUUGGGCGUAAAGAGCUCGUAGGCGGUUUGUCGCGUCGGCCGUGAAAACUUGGGGCUUAACCCCGAGCCUGCGGUCGAUACGGGCAGACUUGAGUUCGGCAGGGGAGACUGGAAUUCCUGGUGUAGCGGUGAAAUGCGUAGAUAUCUGGAGGAAUACCGGUGGCGAAGGCGGCAUCCUGGACCGGCAUUGACGCUGAGGAGCGAAAGCCAGGGGAGCAAACGGG